GAUGAAGAACGUAGCGAAAUGCGAUACUUGGUGUGAAUUGCAGUAUCCCGUGAACCAUCGAGUCUUUGAACGCAAGUUGCGCCUCAAGCCAUUAGGUUGAGGGCACGUCUGCCUGGGCGUCACAUAUCGUUGCCUGAUGCCAGUUUCCUCGUGAUGGGUGACUGUGCAGGGCGAAUGAUGGCUUCCCGUGAGCAUUGUUGCCUCAUGGUUGGUUGAAAAUUGAGUCCUUGGUAGGGAGCGCCGUGAUAGAUGGUGGUUGAGUGACGAACGAGACCCAAUCAUGUGAGACCCCUACCGAAUUUGGCCUUCAUGACCCACAUGCGUCUUUGGAACGCUCAUGACGAGACCUCAGGUCAGGCGGGGCUACCCGCUGAGUUUAAGCAUAUCAAUAAGCGGAGGA
rnacentral:misc_RNA from 1 species